AGUCGUAGGACGUCCGCA
rnacentral:misc_RNA from 1 species